rnacentral:rRNA from 2 species
UGGGGAAUCUUCCGCAAUGGACGAAAGUCUGACGGAGCAACGCCGCGUGAGUGAUGACGGUCUUCGGAUUGUAAAGCUCUGUUAAUCGGGACGAAUGGUUUAUGUGCAAAUAGUGCAUAGACAUGACGGUACCGGAAUAGAAAGCCACGGCUAACUACGUGCCAGCAGCCGCGGUAAUACGUAGGUGGCAAGCGUUGUCCGGAAUUAUUGGGCGUAAAGCGCGCGCAGGCGGACUAGCCAGUCAGUCUUAAAAGUUCGGGGCUUAACCCCGUGAUGGGAUUGAAACUACUAGUCUAGAGUAUCGGAGAGGAAAGUGGAAUUCCUAGUGUAGCGGUGAAAUGCGUAGAUAUUAGGAAGAACACCAGUGGCGAAGGCGACUUUCUGGACGAACACUGACGCUGAGGCGCGAAAGCCAGGGGAGCGAACGGG